GCUGAUUUUACAGGCUGUUUGAAGGAUUUUUGAAAGUUAUUGAAAAGCAAAGCAAUGUGCGGGCUUCCGCUUCACACGCGGGAGGUCACAAGUUCAAAUCUUGUAGUCGGCA
rnacentral:tRNA from 1 species